rnacentral:misc_RNA from 1 species
CAAAGAUAAGUAAAUUAUCUUAUGAAUAAUUUUUAAACCAUAUUUAAACAGAGUAUUUAGAAAAAUAGAAGAGUGGUUAUAAUAAACAACUAAAAGAGAGUAAUUAAAAGAGAAUAACUUACAUAUUUAAGAACAGAUGAAUAGUUCCAGCACUACAAUUCUUGCAGGUUGCAGAACUGUAGAACCAAGCUGCAAGAAGGAAGGAAGAAGACAAGCCGGAAACCGAAACCGGUCGAAGUAGAGCGGGAUAAAGAACUAGAAAGAGCGUCCAUAUUGUUUUUAAAUUGUAUAAUAAAUUUAAAUAACUUCUAAUAUUUUGUGAAAGGUUUUCAGCCUCUUCGCGGGGCUUAAUUUUAUUGUAGUGCUAAAGAGGUACCUCAUCAAGAUGUCUCGAUAUUCAGACUGUAAAGUAUAUGUUGGAGAUUUAGGAAAUAGUGCCUCUAAACAGGAAAUCGAAGAUGCUUUUAAAUAUUAUGGACCGCUACGAAACGUUUGGGUAGCCAGGAAUCCACCCGGCUUUGCUUUUGUAGAGUUCGAAGACGCCAGAGACGCAGAAGAUGCUAUUCGAGGAUUAGAUGGCCGGACGAUAUGUGGGCGAAGAGCUAGAGUCGAGAUGUCCAAUGGGAAGAGCGGUAAUGGACGUUACCGCGGCCCCCCUCCCCGAUCUCGUGGAAAACCAUUUCACCCGGAUGACAGGUGCUAUGAUUGCGGAGAUAGAGGACACUAUGCUAGAGACUGCAACAGAUACAGAUCGUCGAGGAGGCAUAGGUUAAGAGUCUGUGGACAGUAGACAGGUAAAUCACAAUCACUCGUCUAGUACGCCUAGUUGUUGUCUCCCACUGACUUCGUAGACUUCCACGUAGAAUUUCAUCGUUCUCUACUACGACCUGCACACAAUGCAAAAUGUAUCAGUAUGAUCAAAAUGAGAAAAAACUACUGUGAGCCAGUGAGAGAUAGCCGAUUCAAUAUUUGGGCAUGACCCUCUAAGCUCCUAGCUCCUACAAAUACUCUACAAUUGAGAUUGAUAACUCUUCUAUCUACAAUGUUUACGUCACGACUACUAGUGCUUAUGAGCCCUGUCACAAUAAAAAAUGAUCCAGAUCUCGUUCUAGAAGCCGUUCCAGAGACCGUCGUUCGAGAAGCAGGAGCAACACCCGUUCCAGGAGCCGCUCCAGGAACCGUUCCAGAUCCGAUUCUAGGAAGAGAAGCCACAGUCGCUCGCGCAGCAACGAAAAACGCUCAAGAUCUAGAUCAGCUCGCUCUAGAUCUAGAUCGCAUAGCAGAUCUGUCAAAGAAAA